rnacentral:rRNA from 1 species
AGAGUUUGAUCAUGGCUCAGGACGAACGCUGGCGGCAUGCCUAAUACAUGCAAGUCGAGCGGACUUGAAGAGAAGCUUGCUUCUCUGACGGUUAGCGGCGGACGGGUGAGUAACACGUAGGCAACCUGCCCUCAAGCUUGGGACAACUACCGGAAACGGUAGCUAAUACCGAAUACUUGUUUUCUUCGCCUGAAGGAAACUGGAAAGACGGAGCAAUCUGUCACUUGGGGAUGGACCCGCGGCGCAUUAGCUAGUUGGUGAGGUAACGGCUCACCAAGGCAACGAUGCGUAGCCGACCUGAGAGGGUGAUCGGCCACACUGGGACUGAGACACGGCCCAGACUCCUACGGGAGGCAGCAGUAGGGAAUCUUCCGCAAUGGACGAAAGUCUGACGGAGCAACGCCGCGUGAGUGAUGAAGGUUUUCGGAUCGUAAAACUCUGUUGUUAGGGAAGAACAAGUACCGUUCGAAUAGGGCGGUACCUUGACGGUACCUAACCAGAAAGCCACGGCUAACUACGUGCCAGCAGCCGCGGUAAUACGUAGGUGGCAAGCGUUGUCCGGAAUUAUUGGGCGUAAAGCGCGCGCAGGCGGUUUCUUAAGUCUGAUGUGAAAGCCCACGGCUCAACCGUGGAGGGUCAUUGGAAACUGGGAGACUUGAGUGCAGAAGAGGAGAGUGGAAUUCCACGUGUAGCGGUGAAAUGCGUAGAUAUGUGGAGGAACACCAGUGGCGAAGGCGACUCUCUGGUCUGUAACUGACGCUGAGGCGCGAAAGCGUGGGGAGCAAACAGGAUUAGAUACCCUCGUAGUCC